GCUGCUGUUAAAGCUCGUAGUUGGAUCAAGAGUUCGACAGUGCAAGGUGGCCCCGCUUGUUAUGUUGGCUCCGGUCAUCGUAACGGCGGCGGAUAAACCCCUUGCGCCAAACUGUCGUCUCUAACAGACCGAAACGGUUCCCUGUGAGUAGGUUCCUUCAUUGGGGCUGAAAGCGCCUACGCAUCAACCAUAUGCUUACGGGACGUCGGUCAAAGUUACUGUGAACAAACCAGCGUGUCCAAAACAGGCUUUCGCCUGAAUGUUCGAGCAUUGAAUAACAAGGGAUCGAUUCUCUCGGUUCUUUUUGUUGGUUUUUAACCCGAGAAGGAGUAAUUCAGGCCACGGUGUCUGGGCUGGGUUCCCCUAGUCUCCGGAUUAGGCCCCAGUUAGGCCGUGUCCUUACGGGAUCAAUAGGGACUGACGGGGUCGUACGUACUUCCACGUCAGAGGUGAAAUUCUUAGAUCGUGGGAAGACGAACUUCUGCGAAAGCAUUCGACAAGAAUGUCUUCAUUAAUCAAGAACGAGAGUGUGGGGAUCGAAGAUGAUCAGAUACCGUCGUAGUCCACUACUGUAAACAAUGCCGUCUCAGGAUUGAGAAGUGAACCUAAUGACUUUCACAGCACUAACCCCUGAAACGAGAAAUCAAAGAUUAUGGGUUCAGGGGGGAGUACAUUCGCAAGGCUGAAACUUAAAGGAAUUGACGGAAUGACACCACAAGGCGUGGAGUAUGCGGCUUAAUUUGACUCAACACG
rnacentral:rRNA from 1 species